UACGGAGGGUGCGAGCGUUGUCCGGAAUCACUGGGCGUAAAGGGCGCGUAGGCGGCCUGAUAAGUAGGGGGUGAAAUCCUGCGGCUUAACCGCAGGGCUGCCUUCUAAACUGUCAGGCUCGAGCACAGUAGAGGCAGGUGGAAUUCCCGGUGUAGCGGUGGAAUGCGUAGAGAUCGGGAAGAACAUCAGUGGCGAAGGCGGCGUGCUGGGCUGUUGCUGACGCUGAGGCGCGACAGCGUGGGGAGCAAACAGG
rnacentral:rRNA from 1 species